UCCGAGUUGACCCCGGCAGUCUCCUAUGAGUCCCCGGCCGAACCGCUGGCAACUAAAGAUAAGGGUUGCGCUCGUUGCGGGACUUAACCCAACAUCUCACGACACGAGCUGACGACAGCCAUGCAGCACCUGUGUCCACUUUCCCUUUCGGGCACCUGAUGCAUCUCUGCUUCGUUAGUGGCAUGUCAAGGGUAGGUAAGGUUUUUCGCGUUGCAUCGAAUUAAUCCACAUCAUCCACCGCUUGUGCGGGUCCCCGUCAAUUCCUUUGAGUUUUAAUCUUGCGACCGUACUCCCCAGGCGGUCAACUUCACGCGUUAGCUACGUUACUGAAGAAAUGAAUCCCCAACAACUAGUUGACAUCGUUUAGGGCGUGGACUAC
rnacentral:misc_RNA from 1 species